rnacentral:rRNA from 1 species
UACGUAGGGUGCGAGCGUUGUCCGGAAUUAUUGGGUGUAAAGGGCUCGUAGGCGGUUUGUCGCGUCGGGAGUGAAAACACCGGGCUUAACUCGGUGCUUGCUUUCGAUACGGGCAGACUAGAGGUAUUCAGGGGAGAACGGAAUUCCUGGUGUAGCGGUGAAAUGCGCAGAUAUCAGGAGGAACACCGGUGGCGAAGGCGGUUCUCUGGGAAUAUCCUGACGCUGAGGAGCGAAAGUGUGGGGAGCGAACAGG